rnacentral:lncRNA from 1 species
GAGUAUCGGUUGUGUUUCAGCAGGACAGAGGAUCACGUCGCUCAGACCACUGGACGCACGCGAAUUGCUGCCAUUAUCGCUAGACUAUCCCCAGCACCGGCCAGAGUCAUUCUGGGACAGCUGACCUCUGGGCCUCCGGAGAUGGCUUAGGAGCCUGGGCGCAGCCUCCUGCUCGGAGCAGCGAUAUUCCUGGCCGCACAUGAAAGGGAAGAUUAUAACAGCCCAUUUUCUCCAGGCAGCUUAUCCCGAUUAAGUGGAAUCAGGCAGAAAUCUCCACCCGCAAGUCCUUUCUUCUCAUCCUGCCCCACCGGCCGCCUCGCCCUGAUGAGGACAUGCUUGUUUCUCGGUGUUGCAGAAGUGAAAGAGAAAACUCCGGUUUUCACUGUAUACCUGUUGGUACCUUUCGAAUCCCGUGCCACAGCUCUGCACUGCCUACCCCGCAAGGCGGACAAAGAGAACAGGCUGCUCGAGAAGGUGACUUAGGGCCGCAGGCACACAUCGGCAGGUAACCGAGCACUCAGCAGUGCUCCCGGCUCUGCCUCUGCCCAGGCUGGGGGGGGUGUUGUACUCGCAGCCCCCACUGUGGCCGCACCGCGCACACUCUGGUCCCUGCCUUGCCUGGGGCGCCCACUCCUUACAGCCUUGGCUCAGCAGUGCUCCUGGAGCUACCCUUCCCUCCCCGCAGAGACUCCCUCCUCCUGCCUCCCCCAGCAUGGGGUCCGUGCCUCUUCCUCCCUCCCCGCCUCCUCCGCAGAGCACAGGGCCCAGCACAUCUUCCUGCUGGGGCGAAAGAACGCGGGGUCCCUGGAGGGCCCCCAGCCCCUUGUCAGUUUCACCGUCUGAGAUGUGUCCAGGAAGCCCAGUUACCGGCACCGGGAAGGGGUUGGCAGGUGCUGCGAUCCGGAUCCCAUGAGGGUGCUGCUCCGGGACUGGCGGGAGUGUGGGGGAGAGAAAGGAAUGCUCCUUAGGACGCCCUGCGGUUUGGGGGCAGGGGCGGGGAGCUGCACCCCGCCUUUCUGGAAGCCGCAGAGGGGCCCUGUGCAAAGGCGAAGAUGCUACAUGAGUCAGCUCGGUUCCGGGCAGGAGCUGGAGCCCAUUGACCUGGACUUUCAUCUCUUUUCUGGCAUUUCGGGGAACAAACAAGGGGUUAUUACAGUCACAUCUGACGCUUUGCCUCGCCUUACAGAGAACGGCGCGGCCGAGUUGCUCCCACAGCCUCUCCUUGUGGGUCCCCGGAGGCCGAAGACCCAAGGGCACGCCGGGGUGGGAGGAGGACCUCAUUGCGAGACCCCCAUGGCUCCCUCCCGGUCCCUGUUUCCUGAGCGGUGGGACGGGCACCUGGGACGGAGAUAA